rnacentral:rRNA from 1 species
AGAGUUUGAUCAUGGCUCAGGAUGAACGCUAGCUACAGGCUUAACACAUGCAAGUCGAGGGGAAACGACAUCGAAAGCUUGCUUUUGAUGGGCGUCGACCGGCGCACGGGUGAGUAACGCGUAUCCAACCUGCCCAUCACUUGGGGAUAACCUUGCGAAAGUAAGACUAAUACCCAAUGACGUCUCUAGAAGACAUCUGAAAGAGAUUAAAGAUUUAUCGGUGAUGGAUGGGGAUGCGUCUGAUUAGCUUGUUGGCGGGGUAACGGCCACCAAGGCGACGAUCAGUAGGGGUUCUGAGAGGAGGGUCCCCCANAUUGGAACUGAGACAACGGUCCAAACUCCUACGGGAGCA